rnacentral:lncRNA from 1 species
GCCGGACCUGGGGAUCUCCAUCAAGGUCGACAACGAGUUGUAGUACUGUGUCCAGCCAACAACUCCUUUUGCUUCUCAGGUUCAAUCCGCACUUCCCUUUGUCAGUCUGAAUGCGCCCUUGUUGAUUGCUAUCUGGCAUUGGCAAUGUAUUCCAACUGUUUGAUGGUUUGAGCUUGCCAUAACUUCAAUUCUAUAAAAGAGUUACCCUCAGGAAUUUGUUUAUUAGCCACCAAUACCGCAAAAACUACAGAAGAAUGUUAUUACUGCUAAUGGAUAGAUGCACUGCAGAAAUAUGAAUAGUUUUGGUCAAAAGAAUGCAGACUGCACUUUCUUAUUAGUCUAUCACCCUCACGGUUGCUAAUGAUAUUUGUUUUGCCACCACUUUUUGUGUAACUAGGGGAGGACACUGGUCGUUUGGUUAAAAAAAGGAGUGUGGGAACUCGUCAUCCUUUCUCAAACAUUCUCACUCAGUCAAGUGCCAAGGUAAAAUCAAUGGUCGUCUUUGAUCAGUUCAUACGGAACAAAACUCAUUUAUUUCAAAAACUGCAGGUUCAUGGUGACAAAUGGACAUACUGUUUCAGGCUUAUGACUAAGAAUUAGAAACACAGACUCAAAUUAAUUAGAUGCUCUAAUUAGAAGGUAUGCACUUGGAGGCAUUACCCGCCUUCUUACUUGGAGGCCUUCCUUGCCUUUUUCCCGUGGCAAACCAUGGCGCUUGAAAAAUAACAUUAAACAUGCACGGGUCUCAACUUGUAAGUGAUGUGCCGAAACUGCCACUACCUACAACCGUGCCCUCAGGCUUCCCUCGGACCGUCCUUAUCAAUUGUAGUCUCUGCUCUCCCACGUUAAGUCCCACCUUUUAGAAACAGCUUUUCUCGAUGGUGGCCUCCCCUGGAAGCUCUUGAACCUAUGGUGUGAAGUCGGUUCCCCGUCAGAAGGAAAUGCUUGCGUUAGGUCGUCAGACUGUUAAUUAUAACCAUGUUAUUCUGUCGAGCCUUUCCAUCGAGUUGUCAAAACAAUAUCAAAGUAGAAGAUGUUAAAUAUGAAACCACCAAGUUAUGCACUCUGCUAUUGUGGUUGUGAAGCUCGUACAGUCUGCUUGAUGUUCGCACUAAAUUUCCUUCAGGCAACAAGACGAUGAGUUCAGUGCAAGUCUUCAGGCUGUAGGGCUAAUCAUAGGCAAAGAAGUCUGGACUUCCGUGGGUUUGCAUGAACGAUUUUGAAAUGAAGAAUAGUUGUUAAGUUAUUAUUUUUGCUAGAAGAGUAGCGUCGCAAAAGAGUAUUGCUGGGGAAGUAACUGGAGCACAUGCUACUAUUUUUAUAGGAAAGACCCUAAAUGACCCAACUUUUGCAAUCUACAGAUGUUGCUUAUGAAAUCGGUAGAGCCAUGCAUCUGCAAUUAUCUAUUAGCAACAUCAGGUUUGUGUUUGUAUCUCUUCUGCCAUCAUUUCUUGAUCAUUAUGUUAUUUCUUUUCUCAUCUCGAAUCCUUUUUGUUAUAGCCAUACAUUCUCUUUUGGUUUAAGAAGAUAAUAAUCCAGUUUCACUAAAUGCAUUUUCUAUAGCAGCAUAUUCUCUAAUAAUUCAAUCAUACUACGUACUGGUCUAUAAUUUCAUUUCUUUGGUCAUUAAUCUAGCUUUUCCCUGAGAUUGUUUCUCAUAGUGAACAACUCAUAAAAAUGAUUUGUAGGAAAUAGACAAGAAUGAUAGGGUACAUACUGAUGUUUUCCGUAACUUCCCUGUAUGGUUCAGGAGAAGCGUAUUGCAACAGAAGAUUCCACACUCCUUUUAUUAGGGUGAUAAAAUUAGGGUGAUAAAAUUGGCAACCUAGGUAUACACGCAGGACUUGUAAACUGAAACGGAGGGAGUACCAAAGAUCUCACUUGUGCGUGCUAAUCUUGGGAACUGUAUUCAGGCACCCCUUGGCCCUCUUAUGCGGGUUGUUUUGCAUUUUGCUUUUGUGUUAGAAUAAGUAAUUACUAUGUAAUCAAAACCAUUUUUGGUUCGUAUAUGGGAUUGUCCUGUAUGAUAACUUGAUAAGGCAUGAGAACAUUUUUAAAUGUCAAAAGUAAUCAAUCCGUAGAAGAAUGCAUGCUCCUAAGCCAUGGAAGAAAUUAGCAAACAGACAAAAGUUAAGGGCCUAAGGCAAGAUUGGCACACCCAUGUGUAGACCAUCAUUUGAUUUUAGUACUUUGAAUAGGUUCAUGCCAAAAGAUAAACUUUCAGAUGUACAUGGUAUCACCAUCACCUCUGAUGGCACAAGCGCUCUAUUUGAUGUUCUACAGGAGAGGUUCAAGAUUACAUUCAAGGAGAGAACACAAGCAUGAUGAUACUCAAUAAAGUGAAGCAAUGGGCAGACUUGCAAGAGAGGGAGUAGUCCGGGCCUAUCACACAAUGUAAAUAUGUGAACUGCUCUUUGCAAAAUCGCUACAAAAUUCAUGUUAAUUUCCUGCAAAUGAAUAAGGUAUGAUUUUUUUGUAUGAAUUUCUAUUUUGCGUUGUCUAGGCUUUGCAAGGUGGCCAUGACUAAUAUUAUUGUAAAAAGCACUGUAACUUUUGCCUCGAAUGAAACAAGGUCUUUGGGCGAGACAGUAAGCACCCAAAACAUUUUUUCUUGCUUCUUUCUUGAAUUUCCGGUUAUCCUCUAUUCCCCUGCUUCUUUUUCACUGGUUGUGAAUCAUCCGUUGCUGUCACUAAAUUCAUGUUGGAAUAUCUACAUCGAUUUGACAUAAGCACAUUGAUGAGAGUGCUUGAAGCUGCCACAGUUAAGCUAGAGCUAUUUUAUUUUAUUUUUAUUUUGCGAAGAAGAGCCAUCUCAAUUUAAAGUGUGAGCUGUUUGUGUUUUCAAUACCAGACCUGUUAUCGAUUUUUAUUUUUUUGUAGUGAAGCUAGCUGCUGUUAUGUUGGAAACCGAACUUACUGCAUCUAGAAAAGAAUACUCAUUGUGCCACCAGUUAGUAGCAAUUAAUCGAAUCCCGAUGGUUAGAAGCAGGUUUCACUUUUUAUGCUGAAAACUUCUAUUAUUAUUUUCCUUGAUGAGUUUUGAUUUGUUCCAAUUGCUGAUUGGCUGGCUUGGUUUUAUGAUUUUCCGAGUAUUUUUCUAUUAUGACAUUCUUAUAUUCCUUCUUUUUGCGGGUUAACAUUCUUAUAUUCGUCUUCAUAUACAAUUGGAUAGUUUUGCUUUUCUUCAGGCUGGGGGCUCAUAUCUCUCCCUAAUAAUAAAGCACGGAUAGGGUCUCCGGGUUCACCGUCGUGCACUUUUGUAAAGAAACCCCUGUUGAUUUCGGUAUUGUACGCGCAGUCCUCACAAUAAGUUAACACGAACCGGUACGCCAGAGAAAAGGAAAGAAAAUCAGCCCCCCUCUCCCCGCACGCCCUGCCUCCCAAUCCCAUCUCCAACCCCUGCCACGCCCCUCACCGCGCGCC